GAUGAACGCUGGCGGCGUGCCUAAUACAUGCAAGUCGAACGCGCAGCGAGAGGUGCUUGCACCUUUCAAGCGAGUGGCGAACGGGUGAGUAACACGUGGAUAACCUGCCUCAAGGCUGGGGAUAACAUUUGGAAACAGAUGCUAAUACCGAAUAAAACUUAGUAUCGCAUGAUAUAAAGUUAAAAGGCGCUACGGCAUCACCUAGAGAUGGAUCCGCGGUGCAUUAGUUAGUUGGUGGGGUAAAGGCUUACCAAGACAAUGAUGAAUAGCCGAGUUGAGAGACUGAUCGGCCACAUUGGGACUGAGACACGGCCCAAACUCCUACGGGAGGCUGCAGUAGGGAAUCUUCCACAAUGGGCGCAAGCCUGAUGGAGCAACGCCGCGUGUGUGAUGAAGGCUUUCGGGUCGUAAAGCACUGUUGUAUGGGAAGAAAUGCUAAAAUAGGGAAUGAUUUUAGUUUGACGGUACCAUACCAGAAAGGGACGGCUAAAUACGUGCCAGCAGCCGCAGUAAGAC
rnacentral:rRNA from 1 species